rnacentral:rRNA from 2 species
GCGGGGGGUCUAUCAGCAAGUCGAGCGAACUGAUUAGAAGCUUGCUUCUAUGACGUUAGCGGCGGACGGGUGAGUAACACGUGGGCAACCUGCCUGUAAGACUGGGAUAACUUCGGGAAACCGAAGCUAAUACCGGAUAGGAUCUUCUCCUUCAUGGGAGAUGAUUGAAAGAUGGUUUCGGCUAUCACUUACAGAUGGGCCCGCGGUGCAUUAGCUAGUUGGUGAGGUAACGGCUCACCAAGGCAACGAUGCAUAGCCGACCUGAGAGGGUGAUCGGCCACACUGGGACUGAGACACGGCCCAGACUCCUACGGGAGGCAGCAGUAGGGAAUCUUCCGCAAUGGACGAAAGUCUGACGGAGCAACGCCGCGUGAGUGAUGAAGGCUUUCGGGUCGUAAAACUCUGUUGUUAGGGAAGAACAAGUACGAGAGUAACUGCUCGUACCUUGACGGUACCUAACCAGAAAGCCACGGCUAACUACGUGCCAGCAGCCGCGGUAAUACGUAGGUGGCAAGCGUUAUCCGGAAUUAUUGGGCGUAAAGCGCGCGCAGGCGGUUUCUUAAGUCUGAUGUGAAAGCCCACGGCUCAACCGUGGAGGGUCAUUGGAAACUGGGGAACUUGAGUGCAGAAGAGAAAAGCGGAAUUCCACGUGUAGCGGUGAAAUGCGUAGAGAUGUGGAGGAACACCAGUGGCGAAGGCGGCUUUUUGGUCUGUAACUGACGCU